rnacentral:rRNA from 1 species
UGGGGAAUAUUGGGCAAUGGGCGAAAGCCUGACCCAGCCAUGCCGCGUGUGUGAUGAAGGCCUUAGGGUUGUAAAGCACUUUCGCUGGUGAAGAUAAUGACGGUAACCAGAUAAGAAGCCCCGGCUAACCUCGUGCCAGCAGCCGCGGUAAUACGAGGGGGGCUAGCGUUGUUCGGAAUUACUGGGCGUAAAGCGCGUGUAGGCGGAUAUGCAAGCUAGAGGUGAAAUCCCGGGGCUUAACCUCGGAACUGCCUUUAGAACUGCAUAUCUGGAGUAUUGGAGGGGAGUGCGGAAUUCCUAAUGUAGAGGUGAAAUUCGUAGAUAUUAGGAGGAACACCGGUGGCGAAGGCGGCACUCUGGACAAUUACUGACGCUGAGACGCGAAAGCGUGGGGAGCAAA